rnacentral:rRNA from 1 species
UUGCCAGCCCGCUCAGAAACUUAAAGGAAUUGACGGGGCCCGCACAAGCGGUGGAGUAUGUGGUUUAAUUCGAUGCAACGCGAAGAACCUUACCUGGUCUUGACAUCCCGGAGACCCUUAGGAAACUAGGGGGUGCUUCCAUCUGGAAGAAUCUGGAGACAGGUGCUGCAUGGCCGUCGUCAGCUCGUGUCGUGAGAUGUUGGGUUAAGUCCCGCAACGAGCGCAACCCUUGCCUUUAGUUGCCAGCAGUUCGGCUGGGCACUCUAAAGGGACUGCCGGUGUUAAACCGGAGGAAGGUGGGGAUGACGUCAAGUCCUCAUGGCCUUUAUGACCAGGGCUACACACGUACUACAAUGGCCGAUACAAAGGGCAGCGACACUGCGAGGUGAAGCCAAUCCCGUAAAAUCGGUCUCAGUCCGGAUUGGAGUCUGCAACUCGACUCCAUGAAGUUGGAAUCGCUAGUAAUCGUGGAUCAGCAUGCCACGGUGAAUACGUUCCCGGGCCUU